rnacentral:lncRNA from 1 species
GAAGAUGAUAUAAACUGGGUUGGGGUUGGUCUGUGGAACCUUUCGGCUUAGGACAACAGUGUAUCAAACAAACUGUACUUGAAAAAGGAAGUAAUGAAGACAGAAACCGAAAAAGUAGAACUCAGUCAAAAUCUUAAAUUACGCAGAUCUUCAGAAGAAUCAAUAUGUUGAUGUGAAAGUGUGGGUGAAGUCGUAUCAAUUAUGCAGAGAAGCA